UCAGAUAAGACCAAGGACAGUGAAGACGGAGAAUGAAGGGGUCGCAUGCCAUAUUUGCUACAAUAUCUACACGCAGGCUGAAGAAAUCGGCAUUGAAAACGCCAACUCGCUGCCUGACUCUUAUUACCGUUUACGAAGAAAUUGGCUGCGUUUCCCAUCAAAGACAGCAGAACGUGUUCGACAACACCGCACCAAUGCCAGGAUUAUCUCGUUUGUGUAGAUCAGAAUUUUGAUAUACCAUGGCAACUUCGACGACAGCAUUUUUCCUGUGGCUAGCUGAGCCUAACCUUUGUACACAAGCCAACCGAGAUACUGCACAGCAUGCGUCUGCAAGCAACCGAGCCUUCAGUUCGCACUCAGGAACCCUAGUCCCAUACAUCAAAAUUGAAUAAAAUAUUUCUCUGUGGUUUCUCAUUUUGAUUAUAGUAAAAAAAGGGUGUGUGUGUGUGUGUGUAAGAUUACAUAAAUAUAACCGUUUCAGCACUUACAAAUUAAAUCGGAUCAAUAUAAGUCUUUGGGAUUAACGAUUUGCCAACGUACAAUCAUAAAAAUGAAAUGAUUAAAAUGCUUUCUAAAUGUGCUUAGUAUUGAAUUGAUUAAAAAAAAUUGAGCAUUUUAGAUUUUCAACCCCUUGGCAUAAUGUAAAAUAUUUUGAUGUAUGGAAUUUGAUUGACCACGAGUCUUUCAAUUCCCGUUUUCGGCACAGUCUAAAAGUUGAUCUUUAAAAUGUAUCUUCAAUUUUAUCGUGUAUUUGCUGACCAAUUUUAAAGUCCACUUGGUCUUAAAUGUGCAAAAAUAAUGAAGUUAUUAAUUAAAUAAAGGUAUACUAUCCGCGAUUAAAAAUGCCCCUAAGCCCUAUUACAUGACCAUAUUUCUUGCAUAAUUCAAUCAUUGCAUAAUUCGGCAUAAUUCUGUUAUAAUUCAUAAUUCUAUAAUAAUUCGUAGAAUAAAAUUAAUUCGUAGAAUAACUUAAUUUUAAGCCAAUUAUCCAAUCUUUCUCUGCCUGUAAAAUUUAUUAUUCAUCCUCUUCCUAAUAUUUCUAGCGUAAUAGCUUUAGGAUUGACGCAUGUUUCUUUGGAUAUCUUAGCUUUCAUUUACAUUCUAGGAUAGUUUCAUUUUCAUCAUCAUUGUUAUGUUUGUUUGUUUGAUUCCAAUUUUUCAUAGCAUUUUCAUUGUUAAUGGCAAAAUUCACUGGAUUUCUACGUCUUUUUGUGAUGACCGUUUUCGAGAAUAUUUUCUAUUUUUUCUACUUUAUUUAAUGUAUUCUGUAAAUUUUACACGAGAUAAAGUUUAAUGAAUUUGUACUGAGAAGAGUU